UACGAAGGGGCUAGCGUUGUUCGGAAUUACUGGGCGUAAAGCGCACGUAGGCGGAUAUUUAAGUCAGGGGUGAAUCCCAGAGCUCAACUCUGGAACUGCCUUUGAUACUGGGUAUCUCGAGUAUGGAAGAGGUGAGUGGAAUUCCGAGUGUAGAGGUGAAAUUCGUAGAUAUUCGGAGGAACACCAGUGGCGAAGGCGGCUCACUGGUCCAUUACUGACGCUGAGACGCGAAAGCGUGGGGAGCAAACAGG
rnacentral:rRNA from 1 species